AUGGAUGACAACUUAUUCGUGCCUCUGCUCCCAAAGCUUGCAGCAACACUGGUCACCAUCAGCAGGAAGCACAUGCUGCAGUUAUCCGUAAAUGCCCUUAGAGUUACAGCAAGCCAAUCAGUACACUAUGACGAAGAUGAUGGCAGUUUCUUUGCCACUGUUGAAAUACAUGUUCCAGCACAUGAAAACAUUCCUCAGUUUAAAACAACCAUAUUUGCUGGACACAACUGCCAAACAACAAACGCCGCUCAUGAAUCAGUGAGUACUGCUGCUCUGCAUUACAUGCAGCAAGCAGGCAUUCUAAUUAUCGAUGACCUGAAUUUCCCUGAGCUUCAAAAGUGCAAAAAAGAGGUGGUCAGAGCCAAGUCAUGGUCAGACAUAUUUGGGCAUGAAACAGUCAAGCUAAAGAGAAAAAUAGGUUCCUUAGAGAGGGAAUUAGCAUCUCUUAAAGAGAACAGUGUUGUUCAUAAGCCAAUCCAGCAACCCCAGGCAACAGAAGAGCCAGACCAACAGCCCUCAGCUGCAUUGCAAAUGUCAACACCGCCUACUGAACAACAGUUUAUACAGCCUAUUCCAGUUGCAGACAUGGUCAGUCAUAUCCUAUGUUUUAACGUGAUAUAUAUCUUUCAACUGCACUUCAUAUCCCACUACAACCACAUGUAA
rnacentral:rRNA from 1 species